rnacentral:rRNA from 1 species
CCGUAAUCGGAAUGAGUACACUUUAAAUCCUUUAACAAGGAUCCAUUGGAGGGCAAGUCUGGUGCCAGCAGCCGCGGUAAUUCCAGCUCCAAUAGCGUAUAUUAAAGUUGUUGCGGUUAAAAAGCUCGUAGUUGGUUCUGCGUGCCGCGCUGUCGGUUCGCCGCCUGUCGGUGUUACUGGCAUGUCGCGGUAUGUCCUGUCGGUGGUGAAUGGAAUCCCCGGUGCUGCCUAGGCUUUUAUAGCUGAAGCACGUGCCGUACGGACUCCAUUUGCCGAUUUCUCCUACUCCGGUGCUCUUAAACGAGUGUCGAGGUAGGCCGACACGUUCACUUUGAACAAAUUAGAGUGCUUAAAGCAGGCUGAAAUAUCUGCCUGAAUAGUGGUGCAUGGAAUAAUAAAAUAGGACCUCGGUUCUAUUUUAUUGGUUUUAGGAAUAUGAGGUAAUGAUCAAUGUGGACUGGCGGGGGCAUUCGUAUUGCGACGUUAGAGGUGAAAUUCUUGGAUCGUCGCAAGACGCACUAGAGCGAAAGCAUUUGCCAAGUAUGUCUUAAUUGAUCAAGAACGAAAGUUAGAGGUUCGAAGGCGAUCAGAUACCGCCCUAGUUCUAACCAUAAACGAUGCCAGCCAGCGAUCCGCCGAUGUUCCAAUAAUGACUCGGCGGGGAGCUUCUACCCGGGAAACCAAAGCUUUUGGGUUCCGGGGGAAGUAUGGUUGC